rnacentral:rRNA from 1 species
AUUGAACGCUGGCGGCAGGCCUAACACAUGCAAGUCGAGCGAGCGGCGGACGGGUGAGUAAUGUCUGGGGAACUGCCCGAUGGAGGGGGAUAACUACUGGAAACGGUAGCUAAUAACGCAUACUAUCAGAUGAACCCAUAUGGGAUUAGGUAGUAGGUGGGGUAAAGGCUCACCUAGGCGACGAGUCCUAGCUGGUCUGAGAGGAUGAACAGCCACAUGGGGACUGAGACACGGCCCAGACUCCUACGGGAGGCAGCAGUGGGGAAUAUUGCACAAUGGGCGCAAGCCUGAUGCAGCCAUGCCGCGUGUAUGAAGAAGGCCUUAGGGUUGUAAAGUACUUUCAGCGGGGAGGCGUUACCCGCAGAAGAAGCACCGGCUAACUCCGUGCCAGCAGCCGCGGUAAUUC